AUUUCUUCUGCGUUUUUUGUGCUUGAAGGUGUUGUCUAAAUCCAUCCAAGCGUGACUGGAAAAAAAACAUGGGCUUGGCCUAAGAUCUCAAAUAGAAAGAACCUCUGUUCAAUUGAAGGAAGUAUCAAGCAAAGGAAAACUGAAGUAAAAUAUUACUCCUCAACCUAUGACCAUUCAUUCAAUGACAACUUAAAAGUUAUGACAGGGAUGAACAAAUGAUGGCUACAACUUCAGAGUUUCGGAUAUCAAAGCACUUCUGCUGUCAUCAGAUUGCAAACUGGGCAUUUGGCAAAUGAAGGAAGGAAGAAGGAAAGAAGGAAGGAAAGGAAGGAAGGAAGGAAGAAUCCAGUGAAAGAAUAAUUCCUUUUCAUUUAUUUCAAUUCAUAUUAUGCACUUUUAUUAAGGGUUAUAAGAUAUAUCUGAAUGUAA